rnacentral:rRNA from 1 species
AUUGAACGCUGGCGGCAGGCCUAACACAUGCAAGUCGAACAGUAGCACAGAGAGCUUGCUCUCGGGUGACGAGUGGCGGACGGGUGAGUGAUGUCUGGGAAACUGCCCGAUGGAGGGGGAUAACUACUGGAAACGGUAGCUAAUACCGCAUAACGUCGCAAGACCAAAGUGGGGGACCUUCGGGCCUCACACCAUCGGAUGUGCCCAGAUGGGAUUAGCUAGUAGGUGGGGUAAUGGCUCACCUAGGCGACGAUCCCUAGCUGGUCUGAGAGGAUGACCAGCCACACUGGAACUGAGACACGGUCCAGACUCCUACGGGAGGCAGCAGUGGGGAAUAUUGCACAAUGGGCGCAAGCCUGAUGCAGCCAUGCCGCGUGUAUGAAGAAGGCCUUCGGGUUGUAAAGUACUUUCAGCGGGGAGGAAGGCGGUGAAGUUAAUAGCUUCACCGAUUGACGUUACCCGCAGAAGAAGCACCGGCUAACUCCGUGCCAGCAGCCGCGGUAA